rnacentral:tRNA from 1 species
GCUAAUUUGGCAGAUUAAUUGUAUCAAAUUUAGAAUUUGAGUAGGCUACUUAGCAAUUAGUA